rnacentral:rRNA from 1 species
UUGCACGCUGGCGGCAUGCUUUACACAUGCCCGUCGAACGGCAGCGCGGGCUUCGGCCUGGCGGCGAGUGGCGAACGGGUGAGUAAUACAUCGGAACGUGCCCAGUAGUGGGGGAUAGCUCGGCGAAAGCCGGAUUAAUACCGCAUACGACCUGAGGGUGAAAGCGGGGGAUCUUCGGACCUCGCGCUAUUGGAGCGGCCGAUGGCAGAUUAGCUAGUUGGUGGGGUAAAGGCCUACCAAGGCGACGAUCUGUAGCUGGUCUGAGAGGACGACCAGCCACACUGGGACUGAGACACGGCCCAGACUCCUACGGGAGGCAGCAGUGGGGAAUUUUGGACAAUGGGCGAAAGCCUGAUCCAGCAAUGCCGCGUGUGUGAUGAAGGCCUUCGGGUUGUAAAGCACUUUUGGCGGGAACGAAAAGGACUGUGCCAAUACCACGGUUCGAUGACGGUACCCGCAGAAUAAGCACCGGCUAACUACGUG